UUUAUUUAUUUAUAUCCGUGAAAAAAAAAAUCGAAAACGAAAACAUAGAAAAGCAUAAGAAGAAAAACCUUAUCGCGAUCCAAAUCUCUCAAGCUGUACCCAAAAAUCGUCUCUACAUCUUCGACGAGAGAAGAAAAAAGAAGAAAAACCCGUUUCUGUUAUAAAUUGAAGUUAGAGGACCAUUCUGAUGAAGAAUCACAAAAACAGGUCUUUGAAGCGAAAUUUGAAGAAUCCCUGAUGAUAUCUCUGAUUUUCGUUUUUGGGGUCAUUGGUGUGUUGCUUAGAUAUGUCUUUUAAGGUAUAUCACUUUUCUCUUUACUUCUCUGCUUUUCAGUUUUUCAAUUCUAAGUUAUGUAUAGAGUGGUAAAGUAAGCCCGAUUGGAGAUCUUUUAUAUGUUAUUUGGCCUUCAAUUGAUUUGGAGAUCUUUAUAGACAGACAUCACUUGAAAUUCAACCUGGUGAGUCCCCCUCAUUUGCAUUCGUUAGAUGCCCUUGAUUCUCCUAAUUAAGGCUUUCUUACUUAUGAAAUCCGAAGGUAUCAUUACUUAUUAGAGUUUGCUUCUUCUUCGUCAUAAACUGAUGAUCAGGUAAACUGGAAUCAUCAUCUCUCUUAUAUCAUGUUCGUAGAAUGGAAUCAUCAUCUCUCUUAUAUCAUGUUCUUAUAUGCUUUUUUUCAUAUCUGUUUCCUAACAGACCGUGGAUCAUGGGUUCUCAUUAAUCUGUAGAUUGUUUAGUUAAAUGAUCAACGCAUUCAGGCUAAGUUUUAUUAGCUAUUGAUUUAUAUUUCGUAUUGUUUUUAUAUAUUGCAGGUGAUUAUACAUGGAUUAAUUCUUAGAUUUUGUUUGUUGUCAUGAUGUUUAAUUACCUAAUCUAUUUGAAUUAACGAGUUCUUUCAGUUUUCUUUCUUUUAAAAGAGUUCCCUGUAUUUGUGGGUGUAGGAUAGGCAUAGAAAGUGUGAGACAGAGCCAAAGUCUAAAAUUUUCUCCUGUAUUCUUUUUAUGUAAUCUCUCCUGAUUUUUGCUCCACCGCAAAGGACCUUGAUUGACGAUGGAAGCCACGCAAAAUGGUUUGAUUACAGAAAAGAACCAUUUCAUAUAAUUGCAUCAUCCAUUGAGGAAGCAAAGUAAGAGGUUAUCAAUCAGUUAUACGUAAUACCACAGCCGAAAUCUUAUGAAGUCAAUCAAGUGCAAUUGAUGCGGCAAAAGAUAUUAUACUUACCCCAAUCUCUAUAGAUAUACCAUGGCAGCGACAAAUAUUCAAUGGCAGCAUUGACAGAUUUUUUAGGUAGCCAUGGCAUGGGUAGUGGAGUACUCCAUGAUUCCUUCUAUCUGUUGCAACUGUUGCAUCAGACCUCUACAACAGUUUAUGUACCAAGAAACCUCUCUGGAAAGUAACAGUAAAUUUAUAAAUAUCGAUCUUUUAAGUCUGUGGAUGAAGUUGUACCCAAGUUUGGGGGAUCACCAGUUGGAAAGCUUAAAAAAUCCAAGCAAUAAGGAGACUGCAGAUAUGUAGGUAUGUAACUACAUAGAACAAGAGCUUGAGAAUGUAACGGUAGAGCUUCUGAAGUAUAAAAAAGAGUCUGAGGGUGGCAGAUCCGAACGAAGAACCCAAUUAUAGUAGAGCUAAAUUAUGAUCCUAGAGAGAACAGAGAUUGAAGAGUGCCAUGCGAAAAAGGAAUCAGAAAUAGUCAGGCUUAGAGUAGAAGCAAUGCAACCGGGGGUUGGUGAAGAGGUUAAGUCUGGUGUAGAUAUGUACCUUAUGGUUGGAAUAACAAGCAAUAGUUGGCAUAUAAAUGAUGAUGAGGAGGAAAUCCGAUAUCUAUAGAGACCGAAAACUUGCAAAUACUUCAAGGAAACAAAUGCGUGCUCAUACAUCCCGAGGUCUCAACAGGCAUGUUUUCGUGGUUUUCAGGGACGAUUAAGCAAUCUUCCAAGAGUGUUUUGAUUCAAUAAAAGUUUUUUGCAAGUCAAGUCCAUGGCAUGGGUUCUUCGCUGGGUCAUGUCCUCACCACUACUUUUUUUGAACUUGGGUGUAACUGAGACUGCUAGACAGAUGGAAAACAAGAAGGUAUGAGAAAAUUCCAAUGGUAGUUUCACUUCACAAAUAUUCUCAUUUGUUUCCUAUCUAAUGAUUAAUUAUCAUUUACGAAAUCCGAACCUCAAAUUUUGACAAAUGACAUGUGAAGAAAAGCAAGAUGUGGUGACAAGAUGUGCCUCUGUAAGAAUGUUUAGUUGAAACAUGAUAUGGAGUUGGCAUUUUGCAAUAACCCUUUGGACAAUCCUUAUCCAACAUUGUACAAGCUAGCAGCUGACAAAUUUCACUAAUGAUGAGGUGGGUGAUCUCUGCACUUUUUUUUCAACUGAAUUUGCUCAAUCCCUCCUUCAGUCCUCUUUCUUUCGGCCACCAAUGGUUUUUAAGUGGAAAGACAAACAACAAACCCUUCUCACUGAAAUCAUGUCAUAUCUGCAUGACGCGAGAAAGAAUAUUGCUCAUUGAUCUCGAGCCUAGCUACAUUUUAAAGUGUGUCUGUUAUUCUUUUUCUUACUUUCUUUUGUUUCCGUGAACAUACAUUCUUUCUAAUACAUCUUAGUUCAGUUAAGGCA